rnacentral:rRNA from 1 species
GAUGAACGCUGGCGGCGUGCCUAAUACAUGCAAGUCGAGCGAACAGACGAGGAGCUUGCUCCUCUGACGUUAGCGGCGGACGGGUGAGUAACACGUGGAUAACCUACCUAUAAGACUGGGAUAACUUCGGGAAACCGGAGCUAAUACCGGAUAAUAUAUUGAACCGCAUGGUUCAAUAGUGAAAGACGGUUUUGCUGUCACUUAUAGAUGGAUCCGCGCCGCAUUAGCUAGUUGGUAAGGUAACGGCUUACCAAGGCAACGAUGCGUAGCCGACCUGAGAGGGUGAUCGGCCACACGGGAACGGAGCCACGGUCAAGACUCCUACGGGAGGCAGCAGUAGGGAAUCUUCCGCAAUGGGCGAAAGCCUGACGGAGCAACGCCGCGUGAGUGAUGAAGGUCUUCGGAUCGUAAAACUCUGUUAUUAGGGAAGAACAAAUGUGUAAGUAACUAUGCACGUCUUGACGGUACCUAAUCAGAAAGCCACGGCUAACUACGUG